UACGUAGGGGGCUAGCGUUGUCCGGAAUCAUUGGGCGUAAAGCGCGUGUAGGCGGUUCGGUAAGUCCGCUGUGAAAGUCGGGGGGCUCAACCCUCGGAAGCCGGUGGAUACUGUCGAGCUAGAGUACGGAAGAGGCGAGUGGAAUUCCUGGUGUAGCGGUGAAAUGCGCAGAUAUCAGGAGGAACACCAAUUGCGAAGGCAGCUCGCUGGGACGUUACUGACGCUGAGACGCGAAAGCGUGGGGAGCAAACAGG
rnacentral:rRNA from 1 species